AUUGAACGCUGGCGGCAGGCUUAACACAUGCAAGUCGAGCGGAGUAUUGGUGCUUGCACCAAUACUUAGCGGCGGACGGGUGAGUAAUGCUUAGGAAUCUGCCUAUUAGUGGGGGACAACAUCUCGAAAGGGAUGCUAAUACCGCAUACGCCCUACGGGGAAGCAGGGGAUCUUCGGACCUUGCGCUAAUAGAUGAGCCUAAGUCGGAUUAGCUAGUUGGUGGGUAAAGGCCUACCAAGGCGACGAUCUGUAGCGGGUCUGAGAGGAUGAUCCGCCACACUGGGACUGAGACACGGCCCAGACUCCUACGGGAGGCAGCAGUGGGGAAUAUUGGACAAUGGGGGGAACCCUGAUCCAGCCAUGCCGCGUGAGUGAAGAAGGCCUUCGGGUUGUUAAA
rnacentral:rRNA from 1 species